GCGUAUAUUAAUGUUGUUGCAGUUAAAAAGCUCGUAGUUGAAGAUGANCCUGUCAUUAANUUGACGGGNUUCCGGAAGAAUCUCUUCCAGUUACUUUGAAAAAAUUAGAGUGUUCAACGCAGGUUUCGCCUGAAUAUAUUAGCAUGGAAUAACAUAACACGACGAGGGUCCAUUUUGUUGGCUUGCAAACCCACGUAAUGAUUAAUAGGGACAGUCGGGGGCGUCAGUAUUGUGUUGUCAGAGGUGAAAUUCUUGGAUUUACACAAGACUAACUACUGCGAAGGCAUUCGCCAAGGAUGUAUUCAUUAAUCAAGAACGAAAGUUAGGGGAUCAAAGAUGAUCAGAUACCGUCGUAGUCUUAACCGUAAACUAUGCCGACUGAGAAUGGGUACCGCUUUUACGGUAUCCGCGCUCUACGAGAAAUCAAAGUGAUCAGGUUCUGGGGGGAGUAUGGUCGCAAGGCUGAAACUUAAAGGAAUUGACGGAAGGGCACCACCAGGAGUGGAGCCUGCGGCUUAAUUUGACUCAACACGGGGAAACUCACCAGGUCCAGACACAAUAAGGAUUGACAGAUUGAUAGCUCUUUCUUGAUUUUGUGGGUGGUGGUGCAUGGCCGUUCUUAGUUGGUGGAGUGAUUUGUCUGCUUAAUUGCGAUAACGAACGAGACCUUGACCUACUAAAUAGCUCUACUUGCGAUUGCAGGUAGCUAGCUUCUUAGAGGGACUAUCUAUUACAAGUAGAUGGAAGUUCGAGGCAAUAACAGGUCUGUGAUGCCCUUAGACGUUCUGGGCCGCACGCGCGCUACACUGACGGAGCCAGCGAGUCGACCAAGCCCGAGAGGGCUAGGUAAUCUUGUGAAACUCCGUCGUGCUGGGGAUAGAGCAUUGCAAUUAUUGCUCUUCAACGAGGAAUUCCUAGUAAGCGCAAGUCAUCAGCUUGCGUUGAUUACGUCCCUGCCCUUUGUACACACCGCCCGUCGCUACUACCGAUUGAAUGGUUUAGUGAGACCUUGGGAGGGGGUGACGUUNGGGGCAACCCCGACUGAACACCCAAACUGGUCA
rnacentral:rRNA from 1 species